GAGAGAGAGAGACAGAGAGAGACAUGGAUCACCUGCUGCUGCUGAUGAUGCUACUGCUCUGUAGCUCAGGACUCCAGGCUGAAGGAGAACACAACUCAACAGAGCCUGGUGUUAGGCUGGUGGGAGGAGAGAGUCGCUGUGCAGGAGCUCUGGAGGUGGAACAUGAGGGAGAAUGGAGACUAGUG